rnacentral:rRNA from 1 species
AUGAAUCUCCUAUGUUGGAAUUGUCGCGGUGCAGGCAAAGCCGCGACAAUUCGAGAGCUUUGUGAUCUAGCGAAGCAAUUUGCCCCAACCGUGCUUUGUAUUGUAGAAACUCAAAUCUCAAAGGCACGAGUGGAAAGUUUAGCUGGUACUCUAGGUUUUAAUCGUGCAUAUGCAGUUAGUAGUUCAGGCCGUAGUGGCUGCAUGGGUCUUUUU